GAUGAGCGCUGGCGGCGUGCCUAAUACAUGCAAGUCGAGCGAACGGACGAGAAGCUUGCUUCUCUGAUGUUAGCGGCGGACGGGUGAGUAACACGUGGAUAACCUACCUAUAAGACUGGGAUAACUUCGGGAAACCGGAGCUAAUACCGGAUAAUAUUUUGAACCGCAUGGUUCAAAAGUGAAAGACGGUCUUGCUGUCACUUAUAGAUGGAUCCGCACUGCAUUAGCUAGUUGGUAAGGUAACGGCUUACCAAGGCAACGAUGCAUAGCCGACCUGAGAGGGUGAUCGGCCACACUGGAACUGAGACACGGUCCAGACUCCUACGGGAGGCAGCAGUAGGGAAUCUUCCGCAAUGGGCGAAAGCCUGACGGAGCAACGCCGCGUGAGUGAUGAAGGUCUUCGGAUCGUAAAACUCUGUUAUUAGGGAAGAACAUAUGUGUAAGUAACUGUGCACAUCUUGACGGUACCUAAUCAGAAAGCCACGGCUAACUACGUG
rnacentral:rRNA from 1 species